CAAUGAGAUGUCUUCUAGAAGGUGAAGCUGAGACUGGAAAUGGAGUUGAGGACCCAAGUCUGUCUUGGCUCUGGACAGGAUUUCUGUCAACCAUCUCUGCAUCUGGCACUCACUGCUAAUGUCUGCUAACACAGGCACCUGGUCCACCAGUCAAGGGCAGGUGCCAACAUCACCCCAGCCCUCAGCAUGUUCAGAUGCUAAUUUCCAUGGGUCUGAGACUUUGUGAUCUGCAUCUCUACUGAGACAUAUUCUCUAGAAUUAUUUAGGAGUGGAUCACGGGUCCUUUUGUCAUUCAAGAUCCUCUGCCUAAGACAGACUGAGUCCAUUUCUUCCUCCUCCAGCCUUCAGGUACCAUCCCUGUGGCCUGCACUCUAAGGACAGUUGGCUCAGAGGCAGCCACCCAACCCUGAAGAGAGCACCAGGAAAAGGGAAAUGGGAGUCGUGGCUCCAGACUGGAGGAGAUGCCAAGUUAUGUGUGCAUUCCUUGUUCCUUUACGGAGGGUGUCAGGAAGGUGCCAUGCCAACCUUGGGCUUGGCUUCUUUCUUGAGAGUCCAGGCUCCACAAGUCAAGUUUUCCUGUUCUUGGCAACGCCUAGCUAAGCCUGUCUCCUGGUGUCCCAGAUGUAAAUAAACACUGACACAGCUGAGAAGCGUAGGACCAACCAUGGAUCAACUGAGUUUCUGCAGAUGGAAACUUCUUAUGUGAAAGACACACAUGUACUAUCUCACCACCUGGAGGGAGCAAGAAGUGAACAAGGAGAGGGAACCAAUGGACCAGCCUGCCUCCAUCUUAGGCUUAAAAGCCAUCUUAUAGUAAAGACAAACUAGGUUCAUUCCUGUUUAUGAUGAAACCUCAGGGAUCGGGUUAUGUCCCACCUGUAACCUAACUACAAAUGGUUCUGAAUUGUGUGUUUCAAGAAAUGACAAUCAUGUCUUUGUUUCAAAAUGUUGUUUAUAACCAUCUUACAACCUACCUUUGUCUCAAAAGGUUGUUAUGACUACCUAGCCAUGACCACUUUGAAAUAGCGUCUUUUGUUUAUGACUAAUUUGGUAUACUUAGGUUCUGCUCCUGUAACCCCACCUAUUAUGCCCUCCAAAUGCCCCAUUUGGAAAGCCCCUACCCCUGAGCUAUAAAAACCUUGUCUUCCUCACAUCCAAAGCUGUCUUCUCAAACCUUGCCUUAGGGGGAGGCAGCCUGUGUACAAAGAUAAAAAAGCUUGCUUUAAUGAAUUGUUUUCUUUCUUUUUUUUUUUUUUUUUUUUUUUUGCUGUUUCAAAAAGCUUUAUUUUUUUCUUGGUCCAAGACCUGAGAGGGGCUCUAGGGCGAUUACAAAGCUCCCUAAUGGUUCGGGUGAAGGUCCUGAGGCUGGCUGGUGCAAAGCAGAGGGAGCCCCUUGGAAGGCGAGGCCUCCUAAUCAUGCUUGAGAGUGAGCCUCUCAAAGAGAUACUCUCCCAGAGAUGGCUGGGGCACGCCGGUCUGCGUUGCCUGUGGGCCAGCCGCCCUACGGAUGUUGGUCAGGUGGUUGCCCAUCUUCUUGAUGAGCUUCACCUCCUCAUCCAGGAAGUGGCUUUCCAGGAAAUCACAGAGAUGAGGAUCUGUGCGACCAGAACAAAGGGAAUGAAGAUCCAAGAGGGCCUGGUUCAGGUUCUUCUCCGGCCAAGGCAAUUUCCAUGGCCUCCUGGGUUUUACCCCACUCAUCUUGAGAUGGCUUCUGCACAUCUUGGAAGAGUGCGCGGCCACCGCGGUCAUUCUGGAACUUGAGGAGACGCUCGGCACCCUCGCGCUUCUCCUCGGCCAGUUCGCGGAAAAAGUGGCCUACACCCUCGAGAGCCACGUCAUCCCGAUCAAAGUAGUAGCCCAGAGAGAGGUAGGUGUAGGAGGCCCGGAGGUGCAGGUUGACCAGGAGGUUCACGGCAGCUUCCACUUCGGUGGAGUAGUUCUGACGAACCUGGGAGGUCAUGGCUGAUCCGCUGUGGGGAGCUAACCGCGAAGAGAUGGGACUGGCUGGUCCUAGGAGCCGAGGGUGGCCAGGAGCUGGUCCAAAAGGCUGCGGCUGGAGAGACUGAGAAGCGGAGGGAAGCUAACAGAGAGGAGUCCCCGGGUCUGUUCCGUCCAAACACUGUUGAAGCAAGACACAGAUCCACGGGACCUCUGAAGCUGCUCCGAAUUGUUUUCUUUAAUUAAUUUGGCUUUGAUGAUUUGGGUCGGUGGUCUUUCCCCUCCCAUCUUUGGACUAACAGGAACCAACCAGAAGAGUAGAGAAAGAGAAAGCUAGAAGAAAUCAGGGGAGACAGAGAUGACAACACAUGGAGAGGCACGGCCACAGAGUGUCUCUCUCUCAUUCCAUAGGGUAAAGAGUUUGGCAGGAGGCUUUCUGUCACCAACACAGAUGAACUGAGGAGAUCAAAGGGCGACCCUAGAAGGCAGGUUUUCUCUUCAAAAGGAAGGCAGAGACAAUUACUCCAGUCGUUUCUGAAUCCUGGAAGUGAAAUCCAGAGUCCUCUCCUCUUCCUUCCUGUGGAGGAACCGACCUAGUCUCUGAGGCUGAGGCUGCUGUGUGGUCCAAAUGCAGCGCUGAAGGCGAUACUUCCACAGCCUACGUUGGGAUCCAUAGCACGCGCAACACCCCAGCUCCACUUUAAUAAAAGAUGACACAUCCACACAAGCAUCUUUACAGCCAAUGACCAAAUAGACUCUAACCUGGGUCAGGGGUGUGGAUUCAUGACUUCAGAGAAGGCUCACCUGUGAGAGAGAGACUGCUAUGGAGCCCCUCAAGAUGCUUCAGUCCCAGAGAACAUUCCCAUAAUCUCUGGGCACAAUCUAUGGUGUGAUUGUAUAGUCCAAGAAGAAAUAAGGGGUCUUUGUCAUACCCAGACCAUCUGAAGGCUUGUAGAUUAACUCUUCUUUCAACUUUGCCACAUUUCUUUGCUCAACAGCAUUUCUUUUAGCUCUGGACUGAGAAGUAAGGAGAAUGGAGAAGCUGCUCUGCCCUCUGCUGGGAAGAAAUGGCAUCGUCUCAGUUAAUAACAGUCAAGGAGCUGGGCUCAGGCCACCUGUUUGCCGGUUACCUGAGGGGACAAAUCUGCCAUGACCAAGCCUUGUUCUAAACCUGCCAUGACCAAGCCUUGUUCUAGAAGUAUCUUCCUAAGUCAUCUUGCUUUGUGUUCUUCACCGCGAGCUUUGUCGGGAUCAAAACCAACUAGCUUUUGCCAACCCUAAGACAAAAGGAAACGAAGCAGGCAGCUGUAAGGUAAAAGUGACUACCGCCCAAGACUCGGCCAGACCACACAGCUUUGCACAAAGCCACCAUGACCCUAUAUUUAAAAAUUUCUUCAGAAAUAUCUGCUUAGCCACUUCCUGUCACCCACAGGCCCCCAUUGCCCCGGAUUAAUUCCUGUGGCCAAAGUUUGUAUUAUAAUAUCUUAUAUAUACCUUUUCCUUUGAAAACCUCCUUGAAUAGUGGCCAGUGCACUCUGGUGUUCCAUGCUCUGCUGUACCUAAGUAUCUGCCCUUGUGUAAUGGAGUCUGUCUGCCAUGGAACGAGAUGCCGUGUGGUCUCCCGUGGCUCUCGUGGCUCUAUCUUAAGAUACAGCUGGGAGGGGUUCUUGCUAGCAAAACUUUGGCUAAGAAUAUCUAUUGUCAAUCUCUCUUUUCUCAAAUUCAGCCCAGGUGUCUGUCUGGUCUCUGGGUCCAGGAAGGCGUCUUGUGUUGACUGGUGACUGUUUGAAUUUCUGUCUUCCUGUGGUUUCACCAGACAGUGGUUUUGUUUGGCACUAUCCUGUUGCUGGGACUGGCGCAAUGCUCUCGGCCCACCCUGUGACUCAGUGGCGGAGAGAGGGCCCUGCUUCCUCAAAGUGGUACUGGAGUGUAUGUCGGCCUAGCUGUCACCACGGAGUGCCUCUGUGGUAGACUCUGAGUUGCCUAGGGGGGAGGUUACCAGCAGAACUGACCCCUGGGGGCAGCAAGCAUGUCCAGAGCUGUGACUGUUUUUCAAACUCCUUGUCCUUCCCUUGUUCUGCUCCCCUCCACCCCACACUGUGAGUUGAAAAAUCAGGUUGGCAGGAGUCAUGGGGGAGUCUUUCCACCUGAGAAAGGAAGGAAAGCAAAGAGGUCUGAUCAGAGCCUUCACGGCAGUUCACCUCCUUGUCUCCCAGGGUAUCAUAGGACCAGCCCCUACGGCUGGUCACAUCCCCAGCCAGCCUCAUCUCCCCUCCCACAAUGAUGCAAUGGAGGAGAGGAUGCCUGCUCCAUUCUCUCCUCGGCUUAGACUGUCCUGAUGUGGGCAAAGGAGAGCACUGAAUGGACAGUCCUCACCACUUCCUUCAUGGCCUGAGGUUUUAGGGGAGGAGAUGAAGAGGUAGCAGGAGGGCUGGGGAUGCUGUGGGGUUCUCCUGCCCUCUCUCUCCAAACACUGCUGCUCCCAGGGAAAGUUUAGAAGCCUCAGAGCAACUGUGGUACCCAAUAUUAAUGGCCUGCUUCCCUUCCCGUGUCCUAACUUUGAAUGUAGAUGCUACUUCCUCCUUCCACCAGUGACCCUGCAGACUCUUCUAAAGGACACCAUGAUGCUCACAUUCCCCUCUCUCUACUGCCUUGGCUGUACAACAUGAGCCCCGGGCCCCAAAGAUUUCAUGACCUUGACUGAGAGCACAUCCUUUCUGGGAACAGGGACUGUGUUCUUCCCAAGCUGUCAUUCAGUUGUGGGGAUUUCCCUUGGGGUUAGGACCACAUCUUCUCAGUAACCCCCUUUGGCCCCAACUAGUAGGAAGUCUUGUGCCCCAAACAAAACGGAAUUGCCUGUUACUCAUAUCCAGCCCUAGCUUUUGAGAAAUCUGCUUCUUGAGGUUGGAAGCUGGGCGUGGAGUGAAACUAGGGCCUGCUGGGAGUGCAAGUGAGUGUGUAAAUGUGUGUAAGUGUGUGUGAGAGAGAGGAUUGCUCUGGUGGCCUUCCAAAGAAAUGCAGCAGCAUUUUGGGUUCUGUGCCGGCAAAAAAACUAGCUCUAAACCAUUCACCUCCUUAUUAGGUACAGUGGCACCAUCCAAAACUUUCUCUUUUUUUGUUUUUUGUUUUUAUUUAUUUAUUUUAUUUUAUUGGUUCAAAUUAGGAACAAGCUUGCUUCAGAUGUCAAUCCCUUUUCCCUCUCCCUCCCCUCCCCCCCAACAUCCCACCUGCCUCUAGCCAUCCUCCCUCUACUCCCCAGGCAGGGUAAGGCCCUCAAAAGGGGCUCCCCAAAGUCUACCACAUCAUCCUGGGCCAGGCCUAGGCCCUACCCCAUGUGUCCAGGUCAAGAGAGCAUCCAUUCACAAGGGAUGUGCUCUCAAAAUCCCUUCUUUUUUUUAAGACCUUACAUAUUUAAUACAGUGUGUUACCUCUGUACAAAUGGAAAAAAAUUAAGUUCAACAUUUCUAGACCAAUAUGGCUGUUAAUUUUUGUACAAUGCCAACUCAACAUGGUAAACAGGGAUACUUUUUUCCAAAGUUGACAGCACAGUUAAAGUUUCCAAAAAUUCAAAUUAUAUAUGUAUAUUUAUAUUUAUAUAAAAAGACCAAUAAUGGCAGUAUGUUAUGCAUCAAUAGCAGCAAAAGCUUUUCCAGGUUCUGUAGUCAUUUGAACAAAAUUGUAGAGACAUCCAGCACUCUCCAUUUAAAAAAAAAGUAAAAAACAAAAUCCCAGAAAAACAGUACAGUUCUGUUACUCUUGUGGUACCUGGCACCAUUUUUUUUUUCAAUUAGCUUCUCAAUCAUCAUCUGGAAGGAAACCAUUCUGAGCAACAUCAUUAAAAACAACUCUGAUAAAGCAUGGUCACUACUAUGUAUUAUAAAGCAGGUCCACAUAUGAGUGAGUACAUAUCAAGUUUGUCUUUUUGUGAUUGUGUUACCUCGCUCAGAAUGGUUUCUUUGAGUUCAAUCCAUUUUCCUGCAAAUUUCACCAAACCUUUCUUUUUAUUAUUUACUUAUUUAUAUAUUUUUGGUGCUGUGUAAUUAUGUUCACAUGUGUGCAGAUUCACAGAUGUGUUCAGGUAUGUGUGUGUGUAUGUGAGUUUGUGUGUGUAUGCAUGUGCAGACACAUGUCAUAGUACAAAUGAGAGGGUCAGACGACAACAUGUCAGUUCUCUCCUUCCACCAUAUGAGUCCAGGGGAUUGAACUCUGAUCAUCAGGCUUGGCAGCAAGCUCCUUUACCCACUAAACCAUCUUACCAGCC
ensembl:lncRNA